AAUGAGGAUUUUUAUUUGGUGUGUAACUGUGAACGCUUAUGUAAACAGUUUGUGUUGUUUAUGGAUUGAUUUUGAUUAAGUAAUUACCAUUAUAAUUAAUUUUUGUAUAGCUUUUCAUAUCAUUGUUAUAUCUGCUAAUUAAUUAGCUAACAAUUUGUUAAUUGAAUUUUUUCUGGUACCCUUGAGAGGCUGUGAAUUGUUAAUCUGAGGGAGUGUUACCUUUCUGGUUAACUUAGGUACAGUGUAGGAUUGAACCAGAAAAAGAAGAGUAAACAGUUUAACUUGCAAGUAGUAAAUCAUACUUUUCAAUUUUACCUGAUCUUAAUGUUUCACAAUCAAUUUUCUUGUUAAAUUAAUCAAUUACAUCACCUUCAUCAUCAUGAACAUCAAGGCUCUCAAAUCAUGAGACCAUUUGGAUCGUAAAGGACUUAAGGUACAGACUAGCCUCUUCUGUGUGUUGUUUGUUUUUUCAUCGCCAUCUUACCUUGUUACAGCUUUUAAGGAAAAAUAAAUCAACUGUAUAACCAAUUUACGGAAUAAUGAUUAAAUCUAGUUAAAAAUAAUCACCAUCUUUGAUUAUCCAAGGCAACUAUAUCAACAGAAAAAAAUACUAAACACAAAGUCGCCAUUUCUCUCUUUCAUAGCCAAGUGCCAUUUUGAUGAUCUAUUUUGAUUUUUGUUAUCAGCUUUUACAUUUUUUUUGCUGUUACCAGAAAAAAUUAAAAUGUCUAUCAAUCGACCAACACUUUCUUUUUUUGCCGUUCUUCUACUGAAUACUUAUUUAUCAUCAAAUAAUCAACAUGAAGUGAUUUAAGGAUUCAUGGUUUGCUAAACAGAAUGAUAAACCUGAUUGGUUACACAUUCACACAACAAUCCGCUAUUAAAGGGAGUAAACAAGGU